AUUGAACGCUGGCGGCAGGCCUAACACAUGCAAGUCGAGCGGUAACAGAAAGUAGCUUGCUACUUUGCUGACGAGCGGCGGACGGGUGAGUAAUGCUUGGGAACAUGCCUUGAGGUGGGGGACAACAGUUGGAAACGACUGCUAAUACCGCAUAAUGUCUACGGACCAAAGGGGGCUUCGGCUCUCGCCUUUAGAUUGGCCCAAGUGGGAUUAGCUAGUUGGUGAGGUAAUGGCUCACCAAGGCGACGAUCCCUAGCUGGUUUGAGAGGAUGAUCAGCCACACUGGGACUGAGACACGGCCCAGACUCCUACGGGAGGCAGCAGUGGGGAAUAUUGCACAAUGGGCGCAAGCCUGAUGCAGCCAUGCCGCGUGUGUGAAGAAGGCCUUCGGGUUGUAAAGCACUUUCAGUCAGGAGGAAAGGUUAGUAGUUAAUACCUGCUAGCUGUGACGUUACUGACAGAAGAAGCACCGGCUAACUCCGUGCCAGCAGCCGCGGUAAUACGGAGGGUGCGAGCGUUAAUCGGAAUUACUGGGCGUAAAGCGUACGCAGGCGGUUUGUUAAGCGAGAUGUGAAAGCCCCGGGCUCAACCUGGGAACUGCAUUUCGAACUGGCAAACUAGAGUGUGAUAGAGGGUGGUAGAAUUUCAGGUGUAGCGGUGAAAUGCGUAGAGAUCUGAAGGAAUACCGAUGGCGAAGGCAGCCACCUGGGUCAACACUGACGCUCAUGUACGAAAGCGUGGGGAGCAAACGGGAUUAGAUACCCCGGUAGUCCACGCCGUAAACGAUGUCUACUAGAAGCUCGGAGCCUCGGUUCUGUUUUUCAAAGCUAACGCAUUAAGUAGACCGCCUGGGGAGUAC
rnacentral:rRNA from 1 species